AAACCAGCACCUCAAGUGGUCAGGAGGAUUAUUGGGCCUAAAGCAUCCGUAGCCUGUUUUAUAAGUUUCCGGUUAAAUCCACUAGCUCAACUAGUGGGCUGCCGAAAAUACUGUAGAACUAGGGAGUGGGAGAGGUAGACGGUAUUCGGUAGGAAGGGGUAAAAUCCUUUGAUCUAUUGAGGACCACCUGUGGCGAAGGCGGUCUACCAGAACACGUUCGACGGUGAGGGAUGAAAGCUGGGGGAGCAAACCGGAUUAGAAACCCCAGUAGUCC
rnacentral:rRNA from 1 species